GUCAUCAUGGUAAAAGAAGACUAAGCAAAAACGAGGGUUUUAAACUUGUGUCUGUGCUUAACAUAACCUGGGGUUUUCUUUCUAUCAGCAAAUACAGAGGCUUUAGGUGAAGAUUAAGCAUGGACUGGAUUUGGAUACAUUUCUCUUACUUGUAGCUUAAACUAGGAGGAAAACUCAUCUGGCUCGCUCUGGAAAAAGUACCCGUGAGCACAAAAUAGAAUGAAUGUGGAAGAAAAAUAUCCAUAAAGGCAGCAAAAAGACUGGACAAUCUCCAACAGAGCAAAUUGAUGUCUAGCUAAGAAGCCUGAUGACAUUGUCUUAAAGGAUGGACGUGCAGAUGGUGAAAAGGACACUGAAACAUGAAGGAGGAAAAGAAUCAUGGAGAAAGGAUUAAAAUGAAGGAAUGAAAAUAGAAGGAGUGGGGAAGUUCAGGUGUUCACACAUCUGCUCUAACAUAGUGAGUGAAGAAGGAUGGCACUUCAUGAGGAUCUGCAGAAGGGCGGAUAUAAAUAAACCAAAGCUCAAGCUGAAGGCCAGUAAUUGUAUCAUGGUGUUAAAAUGGGUGCCUUGUGUGUAGUAUGACAUCUUUUGCUAGCAUUUCCAGUGUGAUUCACAGGGACCACAGAUCCCUGUACCAUCUCAGCUGCAAUAACCCCACACCUUGACCAAAGCACAUCAAAAAAAUUAAAAAGCAUGC
rnacentral:lncRNA from 1 species